rnacentral:rRNA from 1 species
AGGACGAACGCUGGCGGCGUGCUUAACACAUGCAAGUCGAGCGGAAAGGCCCUUCGGGGUACUCGAGCGGCGAACGGGUGAGUAACACGUGAGCAACCUGCCCCUGGCUCUGGGAUAGCCUUCGGAAACGGGGAUUAAUACCGGAUAUUCACUGCUUCCUGCAUGGGGGGUGGUGGAAAGUUUUUCGGCUGGGGGGGCUCGCGGCCUAUCAGCUUGUUGGGGGGGUGACGGCCCACCAAGGCGACGACGGGUAG